GAGACAAAGUAGUGCACUGGUUUUGGUCUCUUAUUUCCAAUAGCCUAAGGUCGGGAUCAAAUCCCCUACAAACCUUUUUGUUUAAUUUUAAAAAAAAAAAGUUACGGUGCACCCAUCCUCCGAAAAUCCUAGAUCCGCCUCUGGGAGAAAAGGUCUAGGCACCAAAGCGCACAGUGUUUACGUUAAUAGAGACUUCAUUUGAUCUAUUAAAGUUCCUUUGUGUAAACUGAUCGAGGCUAGCUGCCUGAAAUAUUAUCAGUGCCUCUUGUAAAUGUAACUCGAAUGAACAAAGGGGAAAGCUUCCAGGUUUGCGGGUAGCCCAAUUUUAUUUGAUUGUCUCCCUUUCAUGGUUUGUUCUUUCCCGUUUCUUCUGGCAGGUUAUGCAAUCUCGGUUUACGCAAGGUUUUCUUUUUACAAAAGUCAAAACAUACUUGCUAAACUAUUAUGAAAGUUAUUCAGGAUGAUGGGAAUGACAUUAUUCUACGUGAAUAUUUAGUUAUUCUAUACAUCAAUUCUUUUGAACGCCGCCUUCAUAGUUUUGCAUCUUGCUUUGCUUGUGCAUAGAGGACUCUCUUGAGGAGAAUGUCGCUUGAGUGCGGAGCAGGGUAUGCCAAAUGAUUCAUUAUAUUAGCUAAUUGGAUAGUAUAUGUGCUCAUCUUUCUUCAUUUGGUAAGCGCAUAUAUUUAUAACCAUUGGUCUCCAUCAUUGCUUUGUGUAAAGUUAAAUCACUAGUCUUAAAACACUGUACCGUACAUGGUUUAAUUUGCUAGACACCUUCUCUGCUUAAUUUCUCUGCAGAGCAAAUUUGGCAUGUCACAGUGACAGAUUUUUUUGAACAAAAAUCCAAUUCCUUCCCAUCAUCUUUUUGUAGGGUCUAACUUGCCUAAGAUUAAGGUUGCUGACUUAAGGUCACCAGUAGAAAUACAACAUUCAUCAUCUGCUAGUCACGAACCACAAGGUCGAGGCACUUCAGCUGCGGCCUAGUUCUCUGUUCAGGAACAAGUGAAUUGAUACCUUAGUACUUUCUGGCAGGAUUAGAAUUACACUUUCUGUAAUGAUAUUCGAUAAUGAAUUUAUGUUUGAACAAGAUUUACAUUUUAAAAUUUAGAGUAUUGAUUGAUCUGA